ACUUGGUGUCUGGUGCUCAAACCCCGCCCAUUUCCUGGUGGCUAACCCUCUGUGCUUCCAGCAGUUGUACCUUGCUCCACCCAGUGGCUGCUAGCUCUAAGCCUCAGUAAUCGAGCUCCUGCCAGUGGGUUUCAGGCCGCACUCCGACCCCGGACCUUCAUAUUCCUGUCAUUGAUUGAGAUUCUGGCUGAAAAUGCUUUACAGAACACCCAUCCCAUCCUCCCCCAGGAUACAGUUCAGUUUCAUGUGCAUUCUCACCUCAAAUAAUGAAAGGAGUCACACCCUGCUAAACUGUGCUGAUGUUUUUUUUUUUUUUUUUUUUUUUUCCAGCUGACCCAGUGUUUGCAUUUUACUUUAUAAAGAUUGCAGCAACAAAAAAAUACCUCAAUGCAAUCCAAUCAAAAAAGAUGCCAAGAUAAAAAAUGUGGAGUUAAAUGUGUCCAGUGUGCUUGUCAUUGUUUCGUAAAUCCUUGUAUGUUUUCUAUAACCUCAUAUUUGUAUUUUUGACAGGUUAUAAAAUUUCCCUUUCAAAAUAAAGAAAUGUAAUAAUUUGA